GUUACAGAGCCAUUUUGGCAUUCUGUCCACCUCCAUUUAGAAUUCUAUAUGGGUAGUGCAUCACUUGGAGGUGGCCAGCAUGUCAAAAUAGCUGUGUAAA
rfam:Nelumbo nucifera unplaced genomic scaffold scaffold00285, whole genome shotgun sequence